AUGGAUCUCCGCCGCCCGCCGCGCUCGACGUCUGGCGGCGUCGAGCCCAAGAUCCGCCAGGUCGGCUUCGUCACCCCUGGCGUUUCGGCCCCGUCCGAGCCGCCCGCCGUCGCCGCCGCGGCGGUAUCGCUGCCUGGCGCGGCUGCCGGGUCGCCUCCGGCGUCGGACCUCUCCCCGGGCUCGCUCUCCCCCGUCAUGAUCCCUCCUCCGCGGCACGUGGACCACCUCUCCCCCGACUCCCCCUCCCCCCCGGCGUCCGACGUCCUCCUCCUCGCGUCCUCGGCGCCUCAGCCUUCCUCCAUCCGCUUCGCCGCUGCAUCCGAGUUCGGAGAGGAGGAUUCGAGGUCCCUGGCCCCUUCCGCGGGGGAGCUAGAAACAAACAAGGGAGAUUUGGCUGAAAUAAGGAAUGAAGAUGCUCCAGUGUCCAUUCCGCAAAAGCAGAAACCUUCUAAAGCAGAGAGGCGUGCUAUUCAGGAGGCUCAGCGUGCUGCGAAAGCUGCUGCGAAGGAGGCAGGUUUAUCAGGAAAGUCUACAGGCGCUGCUUCUGGGGCUAAUCCUGCAACAUCCAAGCAAGCUAAGCCAGCUAAAAUUUCUCAGAAGAAAGAUGUGCCCCAUGCUCCAAGUACAGUCGCUUCUGAGAAGAAGGUUACUGAACGCCAACCAGAGAGAGAUAGAAAAAAAGAUGUUCCUCAUCCGAGAAUGCAGUUUGAUGACGUGCAUCGGGUGGAGAAAGCAAAGAAACGUGCAAUUGUCAACCAAUCAGAGGCUCGAAACAGAGUUGAAUUGUUUAGGCAUCUGCCACAGUACGUCCAUGGCACUCAACUUCCUGACCUCGAGUCAAAAUUCUUUCAACUGGAACCAAUUCAUCCUUCUGUAUACAAGGUCGGGCUCCAAUAUUUGUCUGGUGAGGUAUCUGGUGGCAAUGGUCGUUGCAUAGCAAUGCUUCUUGCGUUCAGGGAGGCAAUAAAAGAUUACUCCACACCGCCAAAUAAAACUCUCAGCAGAGACCUUACUGCAAAAGUUGGUAGCUAUGUGUCAUUUUUUAUCGAGUGCCGUCCACUCUCAAUUAGCAUGGGCAAUGCUAUCAGGUUCCUGAAAAACAGGAUUGCCAAGCUACCAAUUACAUUGUCAGAGUCAGAAGCCAAGGCCAGUCUUCAGUCUGAUAUUGAUCGUUUUAUUAAUGAGAAGAUAGUUGUUGCAGAUCAGGUUAUUGUCAGUCAUGCUAUCACAAAAGUCAGAGACGAUGAUGUCUUGCUAACAUAUGGGUCAUCAUCAGUUGUUGAAAUGUUUUUGGAGCAUGCUCAUGAACUUGGUAGGAAGUUCCGUGUUAUAGUGGUGGAUUCUCGUCCCAAGCUCGAGGGGCAAGGAUUACUGCGUAGAUUAGUGGCGAAGGGCAUUAACUGCACAUAUACUCAUAUAAAUGCAGUUUCAUACAUCAUGCAUGAAGUUACAAGAGUCUUCUUGGGUGCAUCCUCAAUAUUAUCAAAUGGAACAGUUUAUUCCCGAGUUGGCACAGCAUCCGUGGCUAUGGUGGCACAUGCAUUUGGAAUUCCUGUUUUGGUUUGCUGCGAGGCAUACAAAUUUGAUGAGAGGGUGCAAAUUGAUUCUAUAUGCGCUAAUGAGCUUGGUGAUCCAGAUGUGAUUUCGAAAAUUCCUGGGAGGGCAGAUUUGGGCGAUCUUAAGAACUGGGCUGACAACGAGAAUCUCCAACUGUUAAAUCUCACGUAUGAUGCAACCCCUUCUGAUUAUGUGUCGAUGAUCAUAACGGAUUAUGGAAUGCUUCCACCUACAAGUGUGCCGGUCAUCGUGAGAGAGUACCGCAAGGAGCAGCUGUGGGUAUAG
rnacentral:rRNA from 1 species